AAUCGAGUCUACUCACACCUUGAAUUCUGGUGGUUCCGCAUUGGAUUAUUGCAAUAUUUCUCGUUGUUUAGAUUGCACAUGUUAGGAGAGAAAACUCGUGAGCUUGUCUUGGUCGUUUCUCUUCAGGAGAAGAGCUGUGACCAUGCCUCUCAUUGCAGCGCUGCUGGUUGUUAGGGGAUUUUUGUGUAGGAUAUUUGUGAGUACUACGGAACGAUAGACAAGCCUGGUAUUUUAUGAGAAUUAUAGAGAAAUAGACUUGAAGAGACAUUUUUAUUAAAUCAUAGAGUAGAGACUACAAUAGAUUGGUGUAUAAACCCUUUCUAUUCCUUCUUGGGGAGAUGUUCCGGAGAUUGAUAGUGAAGCGGUCCCAAUGGGGCCCCUGAGACAGCUUCGCUCCUGUUUCUUUGAUGACGGUCCUCGUUCCGAGAUCCAGAAGGGAGAUCUUGCUGAUAUUUGGAGGAAGUAAGUGAUUCAUCCUUCAGUGGGGAUGAGGAGUCCUUCAGAGUUCGAGUGUGCCCCAGAAGGGGAGCGAAUGAGGUGGCUGUCUACUAGGCAUAUUUAGAGGCGGGCUUCCGGGGCAGUACCCUUCCCUUAUAACUGAGGUGUCCUCUUACUUUGGUUUCUGUCCCUCUCAACUUACUCCCUUAACCUGGAGGACUUUAAUGGCGGUCCCAGUGCUCGGAGAAUUUCAUGGAUUCUCUGUCGGAGUUCAUGAGAUCCUUUACUCCUACUAUUUUGCCCAUGUGGUGAACAAAGCAGGAUUCUACCACCUGUGAUCCCGUGACGGUGCUCUUUUAGUUGAAGAGCCUUCAAGGCGUGUUAGGGGUAAUUAUUCAUUCGGGGAUGGUUGAAACAAAGAUUGUUUUGUGUUGUUUUACGAAAGUCAUUUUACAAAAAUGUUAAAAUUAGUUUUAUGGAGGUUUAUUUCGUAAAAAUGUUUAGUUUCUUUUUAGAAAAGAUGUUAAUAAGACUUAUUGAAGUUAGUUUUAAGAAGUUUGUUUCAUACAAACUGUUCAGUUUUGUUUUAUGGAAGAUCUUCCGUAAAAAUUGUCAAAAUUAGUUUUACAUAAGUUUGUUUCGUAAAAUAAUUUAGUUUCGUUUUAAGAAAAUGUUCCAUAAUAUUUGCCAAAGUUGUUUUUACUAAAGUUUAUUUUGUUAAAAACUAUUUAGUUUCAUUUUACGAAAGAUGUUUCGUAAAAAUUAUUAGUGUUUUUGUUAAAUACUUUUAAGAAAAUAUUGUUUUUUAUAAAUUCUUUUCCGAGCAAAAAUCGCUUCAUUGAUUUUCUGAGAAGAAUUACUUGAAGUUUGUUGCGAAGUAUUGUUGUAUAAAUUGACUUGGCGUAUGCAAAGUUAUUCUCUCAAUAUUUUGGCUCAUUUUCGUAGAUGAUAUGUUUUCGAGUGAUUUUAGCCGCUGGUUUCUUUUUUUUCUUUUUUUUUUUUGACAGCAAAAAUAUUACAGACUCAUAUAGAUCCUGUAAACCAAAGUGGUAACUCUGAAUCCAUGUGUACGACGAAAGAUGGUUGUUGCCGAGCACUACGUGCCAAACUAUCCGCCCUUGUAUUCUCCGUCCUAGGUACAUGAACAAUAUCUGAGUUGAUGAAACUUCUUCUCAACAGCUUAAUAUCUUCCAGGUAGCUUUCAAAUGCUGGUCAUUCCUCUGGUUCCGAAACCAUCUUCAUCAAUUGAAAACAAUCCGUUGCAAACGUAACAUGAAACUGUCUUAAGUUUCUCAUGCAUUCCAUUGCCCAAAUUAAUGCCUCCAUCUCCGAAUGAAGCGGUAAAAGACAAGCCCUUACAUUCCUUGCUCCUAGUAAACCAUCAAACUCUGAUAAUGUACUGAGCCAACCUUGUCCUGAAAAUAGGUCGUUAUCUUUCCAAGAACCAUCUGUGAAACACCAUCUUCCUGUGGUUCCUACGUUAGGCCUAACUUGUACUUCUUGUGCACACCUGUUGUUACUAACCUGUGCCUCAGUCCACAGUGUUGAUUCUACUUCUGCUAAUCGAAGUGUUUCCCUCGGAUCAAUAUCAAGAUUACUGAAUACUUUAUUGUUUCGACCCUUCCAAAUGUACCAUAGUAUCCAUGCAAACUGAUGAUCCUCCAUCUUUGGAUUAACUCUCCAAAAUAGAUGGUCCAUAUUAGCAAAAAGAGAGCCAAUAGGAAAAAUAUUCGGAUUUGAUGGAAUUUUAGAUAGUGCCCAGACUUGACGAGCUGGGGGACAUUCAAAAAACACAUGGUUUAUUGAUUCUUCAGGAUCACCACACCGUGCACAGCACGUAUCUCUUUGUAUUCCUCUUGCCCUUAGAUUUUUCGUUACUGCCAUACACCCUGAUAUCAACUGCCAUAAAAAAUGCUUUAACUUUGGAGGACACCUCAUUUUCCAGCAGGAAGCUUUAAGUAUAUCAACAUUGGGCUCAUAAAAUUCUGGUGGCUUUUCCUUAUCAGGAUAAAUCCUUUCCACUUUGUACCCUGAUUGUACUGUAUAUUUUCCAUUCUUGGUGAAAUGCCAUCCAUUCCUAUCUUCCAUCCGAUUUCUUCACAAUGGUAUACUUUCGAUUAUUUUUGCAUCGUGUGGAUCCACCAAAUCCCUAAUUGCCUGUAAAUUCCAUGUGCGGGCGAAUUAAUGAGAGAAUCCACUGUGAGCUCCGGGUAACUAUUAUGAAGGUUUUUGUUAGCUGGUCUCGGGAGAGUGGAUGGGAGCCAUGGAUCAUUCCAUACUGAUCAGCCGCUGGUUUCAUUAAGAUGGAUUUAACCCUAUCAUGCAUGAUGAGUUGAUUACUUAUCCCCUAUAUAUUAAUAGAGAAACAUUUAAAAAAUUAUAACUGGUAGUUUGUACUAAUUAAAAAAAUGUUAUGCUGAGUUGUCACCUAAUUAGAAUGCUAAUUUUGCUUACGUGGCGGCUUGAGAAUUAAUAGAGAAUUUUCUUAGUCCAAAACUAAAUUGCUAGAGAAUCCCUUAUUUAUUAAUAGAGAAACAUUUAAAAGGUUAUAACCUGUAGUUUGUACUAAUUUAAAAAUUGCCAUGUUGAGUUGUCACCUAAUUAGAAUGCUAAUUUUACUUAUGUGACGGCUUGAGAAUCAAUUAAUAAUUUUUUUAGUCCAAAACUAAAUUGCUAGAGAAUGUUAUAUUAUAUAGUAUGUCCAUUAUGGACCAUUCAUUUAUCAAAUUUAAAUUAUUAUAUAUUCCUUCCUUAAAUAAAACCUACGGAAUUACCUAAUGUGAUUAAUAUAUAUAUAUAGCAAUUAAUGAUUUUAAAUAAUAAAAAUUUGCUAACAAUAUGUAUACUUUCUAUCAUUUUUGUUUAAUUAUUUAUUAUUAAAAUAAAUUAUACAAAUUAAUUAAUCAUAUAAUAAAAAUUUAAUUUUUUCUUGUAUAUGUUAUAUUUUAAAUUUUUCAAAACGAGUAUAAAUUACUAAAACUAUUAAAAGCCUCACAUUAACAUUUAUGAUCAAGAUUUAAUUUAUUUUCUACAAUAAGAUACAAUGGUUAUAAAAUCAUAUGGAUAAAUAAUUUUAUUUUAAUAGGUGUUUAUGUAAAUAUAUAUAUAUAUAUAUAUGUGUUUACGUUAAUAUAUAUUAUAUCAUUUAAAUUAAACUAUGCAUCACAUAAAAAUACAUACUUAUAUUUUGAUAUAUCGUUGAACAUAUAUUUGAAAUUUAAUAUUUUAAUUUUGGAAUCUUGAUUGUUUUUUUAGAUGAUUAUAAAUUAUUGAAACCACUAAAUAUUCCACAUUAAAAAAAAUUGUUGGUGUAAAAUUUGUUACACAAAUAUGCAAAUAAUCAUAAAAUCAUAUGAGUAGAAACCUCAUUUAAUAAAUAUCCAUAUUAAAAGUAUACUAUAUAUUUAUGUUAAUAUCAUUUAAAUUUAAUUAUAUAUCAUAUACGAUAAAUAAGAUUGAUUAUUUUGAUUUAUUUACACUAAAAUGAUUGUGAAUAAACAAGAGCAGUCGUUUGAUUUAUAUGCGCACACCAAUUUAUUAGAAAAUUUUACAACCCAAGGACACUUUAUGAGUUUCCAAUUACACUUGGAGACACAUUGAACUUUCUACACACAUUAUAUGUGUCUAAAGACUCUAAUACCCUUAGACCAAAUUUUACUUUUUCUUUUCUCUUCUUUUCUAAUUCAUUACAAAAGUUCAUCAUCUCUCCUAAUUUUGUUUUUGUAACCCUCUCUCCUCAUUCCAUUUUACUUUCUCAAAUGUUCAGAUCCUAAUCCAAAUUGAUGAGUGUGAUGAAACAAACCUUGUAAAUAAAUCGAUUGUGAUAAGUUUGGGAUUUACCGUGGAUAAGAUACCAUGGCUAUUACUAGAAGCAGAUUCAAGCUUUAUGGACUUGAACAGAGGAGAUUUGGAGAGUUUAAUGAAGUCACAGAGGAGAGUGAAUUCCAAAAUCCAACUCCGGUGACUAAGGCAAUUAAUCUGUCAAGAAGAUUCGAAUUGAGACUGAAGUUGAGAGUAGUGAGCUUUUGAAGCUUCAGCGGAGAUCUGGGAUUGUGGUUGAGUCGCUGAGGAGAUCUGAGUUCCGAUGAGAUUAAUUAUGAUGACUUAGGAAGGUGGUUAUGGAUAUGAAGAUGGUGGAUACUAAGGUGGUUGCUUGAGAUGAGGAGAUGGUGGUUGACACCGGAGUGGAGGUUAUGGUGGUUAUGGAUACAGAGGCGAUGGAUACGAAAGUGGAUACAAAGGUGGAGACUAUGGUGACAAUAGAUACCGUAAAUGAGGUUGUAUGGUUAUGGAUAUGAAUUUUGUGGUUACUGACUUGGAAACAUCACGCUUGUCCAUACAUCUCCUUCCCAAACAUUAUGUAUGCUUUUGUAAUAUAUGCGGUUUCUAGGUCUGUUAUAUUAUCAAACAUUAUGUAUGUUUAUCAAGUUAAGAUAUUUGAAAUAUUCACUGUAUCACAUCCAUACUAUAUGUGCUAGAAACUUUGUAUAUUUUGUACCCUAACCACAACAAUCACGUCAACAACAAUAACAAUACCUUCUAACAUACAUGUGUAACCACUAUUUCCUAUCCACGACUUUGUAAUCACCAUAUCCUAGCAAAACGCACCGUUUAAUUUAUUAAUAUAAAAAAAAUAACUAAUUUAAUCGUUGCUUUCUUCUAAAUUUUUAGAGAGGGGCAUUUUGGUCUCGAAUCUACCAAGCCGUACAAGUAAAGUGUGCUAAAACCAUAAUGUGUUUUUCACUGCAAAGAAAUGACGAAAUGUGUCUUUUUAUGUAACCUUCUCAAUUUAUUACAUAAUAGUAAUUGAUUUCUUAGUUAUUUAAUAUAUAAUUAUUAUUUUAUUAUUUCAUAAUAUGCAGAAAAAUAAAAAAUAUUUAUUAUGCAAAAAAAGAGGAUCUUAACCUAAGUAUGUAUCUUUUUAAUAAAUUUAAAAUUUAAAUAUUUUCUAAAUCUCAGGCCAAAAAAAAAUAACAAAAUGAGAAUAAACUCAAAAAUAAAUAUUUAUAUUGAGCAAUAACCAAAAUAAAAAAAACGACACAAAAAUGAGAAAAAUAUUGAAGAUAGAUAGAAUUGACACGUGAACGUAAACUUCUUAUAACAAUAAUUAACUUUUAAAUUGCUAAAUCAUGAUAUAAGACUGAGUUGGCAUAGUUUCAUUGUAACCAAAUAGUAGGCCUGAGAUUUUUUGGCCUAAACGUUAACUUCUUAUGCGAUAAGUGAUUUUUUGACCUAAAAUAGUUUUAAAAAUGAGAUCAGCUCAUGAGUAAACAAAUUAUUUAAUUUACAAAAAAAUUUUAAAAAAAUUGUUUUAUGGCCAAAAAUAUUAAUUCGAUAAAGAGUAUAAAUUUAAUUUACGAUAUUUCUUAAAAGUUAUUAUUUCAGUAAUUAUUAUUAUUCCAGUCGAUUACAUUACAUAGCGUUUAAAAAAAUCCGAGUUUAACUAGCAACAAAACAUUAAUAUCAAUCCAAUCCAAUCCAAUCCAAACCAAAUAAUUUGAUUACUCAUAAAUCAUACAUUGAAACUACAUGUGGAGGUCUCUUUCUAUUCAAAUAGAAGAUGCAAAAUAUUCCAUGUAUAGUCUUUUUCGACAUAAAAAAAAUUAUAUCACUGAAACAAGAGGUGGUCUGGAAAGCCAAACCGAAACAGAACAACCAACACACAAAGAUUUCUAUGAAAAGAUUGUACAGUUCUACCUAAUGAAUAAGCAACUGCAUUAUGAGCCCGAAGAUUGUGGAAAAUCUUGAAUGACUGAAAUCUUGUAGUGUUUCUACCUUGUGGUACCUCAAUCAUAGGUAAGAAACACGUUUUUGCAAUCCGAUUCAAAAAUAUGACAAAUAAAACGACAUAUCAUACUUUUCAUUCUCCAACCAAGUGCAUCUAAAACUUAAUGCAAAAAAAAAAAAAAAAAAACAGAUUCAUGUUCUUUUUUUUCGUCCCUAUAAAUUAGAUUUGUCUAGAUGUGUCUUUCCAUUCCCUCGUGUAGUCUUAUUUUGUUGGAUAACGGGUUUGUAUCAUAAAAAUGCUAUUUUUAUCCAUGGCGCGUAGUGUGCAUGAUAUGUAUAUAAAAAUAUCCAAUAACUACGUAACUCCAAUAAAUCAGAAAGUGGUUAAUUACGUCAGUGUGAGUAAUGGUACAUGACAACAUGCUCUUGUUGGAAUUGCUUGACAUGCAAAUUUCCCUAUGCUUCACCAGACCAACAAUGCAGUUUCACUUAUUAACUAUUGACUAUGGGCCUUUGGCUAAUCAAUUAAUUAAGCACUAAUUUCUUUUCAAAACCUUAUUUAAAUGGACAGUAUAUAGGUCUCACUUUUUGGCUCACCACUCGCACCAAAUGCAAUUAUAACCAUAAGUUCAUUACAUCCUCUUCUUAUUAUCUGAGGAGAACUUUUAUAAAUGAACCUUUAUCUCAUGUGUGAUUCACAACUUUGUCAUUUCCUAGGUGUCAACACCACAUUCCACCUUAUAACCUUUUUUAAAUAAUUCUUUUUGGCAUAGACUAAUUACAUGUCAUGUCAUUGCCAAAAACAUAUAGUAUAUGUUUCAUUUUAUGCAUCUUGAUUCUAAGCAUUUAUUCUAAGCAUCUUGCCAAAAACAUAUAGUCUCAUUUCAUGAACGUGUUUACUAAAUUUAGAAUAUUGAAAUUUUUUAUACAACCAUGUCACAAUACUAUUGUAUAAAAUGUAAACUAUGUGGAUAAUAUAAUUUAUAUGCCAUGUUAAGUUAUAUCAAUAUUUUUUAACAUCCAUAUCAACUCGAGAUAAUAUUAUGUCAUUGACCAUCAUAUUAUAUAAUUUUUCAAAUGUAUAUUAUAUAAUAUACUAUGCUGAAUAAACCAGAAACAAGUAGAAUAUUGUGCGGUUUGUCUCUAUGUUGUUGUAUAUUAGUUAGUUAUUACUAGUAAUAUGUUAGCAUAAUAGUUGUGUAUACUCGAUCACAUCAACAAUAUAAUCAUAUUUUUAUUCUGAUUAUAAAUACUUAGAUACAAUAUGAAGAUAUCACUGGAAAAUAAAAUAUAUAAUCCAUGAUAAUUUUAAGUGAAUUG